GGACGAACGCUGGCGGCGUGCCUAACACAUGCAAGUCGAACGGGUGAGAGGAGCUUGCUCCUCGAUCUAGUGGCGAACGGGUGAGUAACGCGUGAGAAACCUGCCUUUCAGUGGGGGACAACAGUUGGAAACGACUGCUAAUACCGCAUAACAUACACGGACCGCAUGAUCUGUGUAUCAAAGCUUUAUGUGCUGAAAGAUGGUCUCGCGUCUGAUUAGCUAGUUGGUGAGGUAACGGCUCACCAAGGCGACGAUCAGUAGCCGGUCUGAGAGGAUGAACGGCCACAUUGGGACUGAGACACGGCCCAGACUCCUACGGGAGGCAGCAGUGGGGAAUAUUGGGCAAUGGGGGAAACCCUGACCCAGCAACGCCGCGUGAAGGAAGAAGGCCUUCGGGUUGUAAACUUCUUUUACCAGGGACGAAGAACGUGACGGUACCUGGAGAAAAAGCAACGGCUAACUACGUG
rnacentral:rRNA from 1 species